rnacentral:tRNA from 1 species
GCUGGCGUAGCUCAGCCGGUAGAGCACCCGCCUUGUAAGCGGACGGUCGUGGGUUCGAGUCCCACCGCCAGCUCCA